AUUGAACGCUGGCGGCAUGCCUUACACAUGCAAGUCGAACGGCAGCACGGGAGCAAUCCUGGUGGCGAGUGGCGAACGGGUGAGUAAAGUAUCGGAACGUGCCCAGUCGUGGGGGAUAACGUAGCGAAAGUUACGCUAAUACCGCAUACGAUCUAUGGAUGAAAGCGGGGGAUCGCAAGACCUCGCGCGAUUGGAGCGGCCGAUAUCAGAUUAGGUAGUUGGUGGGGUAAAGGCUCACCAAGCCGACGAUCUGUAGCUGGUCUGAGAGGACGACCAGCCACACUGGGACUGAGACACGGCCCAGACUCCUACGGGAGGCAGCAGUGGGGAAUUUUGGACAAUGGGCGAAAGCCUGAUCCAGCCAUGCCGCGUGCAGGAUGAAGGCCCUCGGGUUGUAAACUGCUUUUGUACGGAACGAAAAGGCCCUGGUUAAUACCUGGGGCUCAUGACGGUACCGUAAGAAUAAGCACCGGCUAACUACGUGCCAGCCGCCGCGGUAA
rnacentral:rRNA from 1 species